UCGGCUCCUCCUCAGCUGCUCCUCAGCUCCUCCUCGGCUCCUCUCGCGUCCCCCGUGCCAGUGCAGCUGCCAGUCAAGCCAGCGGAGGACGGAGGGCAGAAAUGAACGGGAACAAGAGGAGGAAUCGGGUGAGAUUGGCAGUCGGGAGGAAGGCCACAAAGGGUGAAGACAUCCGGCGGACUCGAUGCCUCGAGAUCAGACAAUCAGACCUGAUGGCUUUGGGAGGCUCAGUCAGCUUAGGGCUCGGAAAAUGAUGGGAGGAUGAUGAGGAGGGUUAGAGGAUCUCAGCGAGGAAUAGGAGCAGCAGCAGGAGGAGGAGGAGGAGGAGGAGGAAAGAGAAAUGGUAUUGGAGUAAAUAACAGCAACACAAAAGGACAAAGGAUUCAGAGAUGGAGAUUGCAGAAAAGCCGAACCUCUGGCAGUGGAAGUGGGGUGUUUUUUUUCUUCUUCCCACUGAGGGCUUUGAGUAGAUCGCCAUUGUUUCGUGUCACCAAACUGCCCCCCCCCACCCCGAAGGGCAACCCCUUCCUGGGCGUAAACAGACGAGUCGAAGGUGAAGGGCAGCGGGGGACGGACGGACAGAUGGAACGAUGGGAUUUCUACCCCUAAGAAAGCCGCCAGCGUCGGGUUUCAUGUCCUUCACCCCGAUCCUGCAGGAGUAGCGUUAAAACAACGCCUCCCCUCCUUCUCCCCCCUUUUUCUCCCGCUCUGUCUCUCCUUUUCUCUCCACCCACUCUCUCAUUAAAACUGUGCGCCUCGGCUUCUAAUUAAAUCCCACUUGAAAGUCUUAAAAGUCAGACUCAGAUUGAUUCAAUUUGCAUUUCUGAACAGGGAACAUUGCCUAAAAGGAUUAAUAAAUUGGUUGAAAAUG